UCUUACACGCAAGCACAUGUUUCUAAUGUUGUCUGUCUUCUGUGCUGUUCCUGUAAGUUUGCUAUUAAAAUAUAUCCCACUAUAAAAAAUAAAGAUCGGAAGAGCGUCGUGUAGGGAAAGAGGGUG